GCCGGGGUGGCGAAAUUGGUAUACGCGACGGACUUAAAAUCCGUUGGGCUUUUAAACCCGUGAAGGUUCAAGUCCUUUCCCCGGCA
rnacentral:tRNA from 1 species